GACGAACCGUGCGAACGUUAUUCGGAAUCACUGGGCUUAAAGGGCGCGUAGGCGGGGUCGCCAGUCUGUGGUGAAAUCCCUCGGCUCAACCGAGGAACUGCCGUGGAUACUGCGACUCUCGAGGGGUGUAGGGGCAUGCGGAACUCAGGGUGGAGCGGUGAAAUGCGUAGAUAUCCUGAGGAACGCCGGUGGCGAAAGCGGCGUGCUGGACACCUUCUGACGCUGAGGCGCGGAAGCCAGGGGAGCAAACGGGAUUAGAUACCCCCGUAGUCC
rnacentral:rRNA from 1 species